AACGCGAAGAACCUUACCUGGGCUUGAACUACUGGUGGUAAGUCUUUGGAAACAGAGGCUGACCCGCAAGGGAGCCAGCAGAGGUGCUGCAUGGUUGUCGUCAGCUCGUGUCGUGAGAUGUUGGGUUAAGUCCCGCAACGAGCGCAACCCCUAUCUCAUGUUGCUAUUCCCGCAAGGGAAGCACUCUUGAGAAACUGCCUUCGAUAAGAAGGAGGAAGGUGGGGACGACGUCAAAUCCUCAUGGCCCUUAUGUCCAGGGCAACACACGUGUUACAAUGGCCGGUACAGUGGGAAGCAAUACCGUAAGGUGGAGCCAAACCUCAAAGCCGGCCCCAGUUCAGAUUGUGGGCUGCAACUCGCCCACAUGAAGGCGGAAUCGCUAGUAAUCGCUGAUCAGCAGGCAGCGGUGAAUACGUUCCCGGGCCUUGUA
rnacentral:rRNA from 1 species